CCCGCCCAGCGAUCUCCGUGCCCUGAGUCCCAGUGACGGCCCCCUGGACAGCGGAGCCUGCUGCAGCGACGCGACGCGCUGGUACAGAUCUCAAAGCAAGGCUUGUUGGACAAAUAAAUGAAGAUGAGCCCAAGAGCCCAGGAGAGGGACCGGGAACAGCAGGGCCUCCGUGACUCACACAAGCUUCAUCCCUGAACCAAGGACGCAGCCUGCCAACAAUGGCCCCAAGCCACACCCCGCCACAGGGGGAACUGAUGCUGCGGUGAGAAGUGACAGCUUUCUGUUGACUCUUUUUUUUUUCAAGCAGAAUAUGAAUUGAGACAUACUUUCAUUUUCAUAAUCAGAACCUAACACUUAGUAACCAAUGUUGGUGGAAGCAAAUGAGAUCACAGUUUGUCUGUUCCAAACUCAUCUCUGGGAAAAGGAGGAGGAAAAAUUAUUGGCACUAUGUUCAGAAUCAUAGCUGAAGAUGCAGAAAUUGUUCAUCCCAAUUUUGCCUUUGUAAGUAAUGUGGGGGCAGUUCUUAUUAGUAAUUGCCAAUCUCUACUGAGACACAGUAUUUUGCUAGGCGCUUUAUAUUCAUUUCCUGGUAUGAUCAUGACAUUAACCCUGUGAAAUGCGUACCCUUACUAUCUCCAUGUGAAGAAAUGAGGGAACUGAGGACCAGAGAGGUGAACUGACUUGUCCAAAGACACACAGUAAGGGCUGUGACUCUCCGCUUUCUAAGAUUUUUGUUCUUAUCGCUCCACAGCACAUAGCAGGCGUAGUAUGAAGGCAGCAUGCUGCACAAUUUCGCUGUUUGUUUCUUGGAAUAAUAAUUUAUAGGGGACUGCUUCUAGAUUCCAAAGGAAAGAGAAAGGAAAUAUGCCCCAAACUCAGGCUUUCAGCCUGGCCCUGCCUGACUCACUGAGCUGCAUUGGACAAAUGAUUCAUUCACUGGCCUUGACCUCAGUGGGUUUGGCCACCCAUUGAGAGUGAAGUCACACCUCCAGCACUGCGAUGCAUUUAUUGAUCCACUCACCUAGCUUCAUGGCAGGCAAGAAACAGGCCUGUGUGAGCCUGCCCAGGAUCAGGGACAGGAGAGCACACAGGUGUUUCUGGAUAUCCUCAAGCUGUAGCUGGGCUGCUCGAUUCUUCCCUAGGAGAUCCUCCGGGGGCCUGAAUUAGUUUGCUAGGGCUUCCGUAACAAAGCGCCACAGACUGAGCGGCUUAAAUAAAAAUGUGUCAUCUCAUGGUUCUGGAGGCUGGAAGUCUGAGAUCAAGGUGCUGGGGAUUAGGACUUGAACAUAUGUUUUUUGGGGGCACACUUCAACCCUCCGGAGGGCCUGUGCCCCAAAGAGAGCCUCCUUCUGUGUGCAGUGAAGGUGUGAGUUCUAAACAUGAGAAAAAAACACCCCUUGUUCUUGGAUAGGGUGACUCGAUACCACAAGCAGGUCCAACUGGCCCAGGUAAAUAUAUUCGUUUAACAUGAUCGUCACCAAAAUAUUGAGGGUAGGUGUUUUUUUCUGGAGUUAAACAAGUUGAUUCUGGAGUUGAUAUGAAAUAAUAAACAAGCAAAAAUAG
rnacentral:lncRNA from 1 species